rnacentral:tRNA from 1 species
GUCAUCGGGGGUUCAGUGGUAGAACUCUUGCCUUUCAAGCAGAGACCUGGGUUUGAUUCCCGGCUGGUACA